UUAAUAUAAUUUGAUUUCUCAAAUAGUGGUUAUCAGACAGCAUGACAUUUCAUCAACUAGUUUUGAUAAUGGGCCUCUGGCAGCCUUACCCCUCCAGCAGGAUUGCUCCCACUGAGAGAGCUGCCGAAGCAAAGGUAGAAGUUUCACAAUUGGUUAACUCUUUAACCCAAGCACAAGGCUCAGGCCAGAGGAGUAGUCCACCGGCUAAAAGCCAGGGCACUUUUAAUGAUCCUUCCGCAGGUUCACCUACGGAAA
rnacentral:misc_RNA from 1 species